GCUAAUGUGGCGGAGAAAACGCGAGAGUCCUAAGUUCUCUUUACGUACCAUUAGGUGCCGUUAGUU
rnacentral:tRNA from 1 species